UGACCUGCGGAAGGAUCAUUAUUGAAUGAACUUGGUGUGGUUGUUGCUGGCUCUCUUGUGGGGGCAUGUGCACACCCGCCAUCCUCAUCUCUCCACCUGUGCACCUCUUGUAGACCUGGAUGAAUUUUCCGAGGUAACUCGGUCGGGAGGAAUGCUGCGCUCUUUGCGUCGGCUUUCUUUGCACUUCCAAGCCUACGUUUUUUUCAUAUACCCGUAGUAUGUAACAGAAUGUAUCAUUGGGCCUAAGUGCCUAUAAACCUUAUACAACUUUCAGCAACGGAUCUCUUGGCUCUCGCAUCGAUGAAGAACGCAGCGAAAUGCGAUAAGUAAUGUGAAUUGCAGAAUUCAGUGAAUCAUCGAAUCUUUGAACGCACCUUGCGCUCCUUGGUAUUCCGAGGAGCAUGCCUGUUUGAGUGUCAUUUAAUUCUCAACCUUAUUAGCUUUUGUUGAUAAUGGCUUGGAUGUGGGGGUUUUCUUUUGCUGGCUUUCUUCGGAUGUCAGCUCCCCUUAAAUGUAUUAGCCGGUGCCCUGCGUGGACUAUCCGUUGGUGUGAUAAUUAUCUACGCCGUUGGAUGUCUGCAAAUAGGUUUUGCACUGCUUCUAACUGUCUGUUCAUUUGGACAAUACAUGACAAUUUGACCUCAAAUCAGG
rnacentral:rRNA from 1 species